rnacentral:piRNA from 1 species
UAUACUUAACUUUUAUUUAAA